rnacentral:sRNA from 1 species
GCCAGUUAUGGUGGCACAUGCCGGUAGUCCCAACUACUUGAGAGGCUGAGGCAGCAGGAUCUCUUGAGCCCAGGAGCCCUGGUCUGUAGUGCACUAUGCUGGUCAGGUGCACUAAGUUUGGCAUGAAUAUGGUGACCUCCCAGGAGAGGGAGGUCAGAAAUGGAGCAAGUCAAAAUUUCAGUGCUGGUCAAUAGCGGGAGUGGACCUGUCAUAAGCCACUGUGCUCCAGCCUGGGCAACAGUGAGACCCUCU